rnacentral:lncRNA from 1 species
GAAACCCACCUGCCGCGCCUCCCACGCCCUCGCCUGUUGCAACUCGCGGAUCUAGCAAUCCGGCUUGCGACGCUUCCUCCCUGCACGUGUGGAUACCUUGGAGGUGUUGCGCCUGCAGCACUUGGACGAGCCAUCGACGAGCCGCCGACGAGCCACGACGAGCCGCGGUACCGGAGGCGAUCUUGUUGCGCGUGGACGAGCUGCUGAGGAGCUGCUGGACGUGAUCGACUACGUACGACUACGUUGAUCGACUACGUACGACUACGUGAUCGUCUUCUCUACAUCGACGCAUAUCUACAUCUUCCGCACCAGUAGUGCGUCGAGUGGUAAUCCCGUGAUCCUUAUACGGCAGUUCUUCCUGGUUAUACGCGGUAGAAAUUUUGAUUUGCGCUAGUGUAGCCUACCUUGUAUCCCAACAGUGGUAUCAAGAGCCGUAGCUGCUUAGUUUUGGAUUCGGGAUGUGUGCAUAUGGAGAUAUGCGAGUUUUCUGUUUGAUCUAUGUCCUGGUCUCGUGCCCUUGCUGCAAUGGUAGUGUAACGACAUACUCCUACCGGUCGGUUUCCGCCAUCGGAGUUAAGUGAUACACGUAAAUCCAGUUGCAGUGAGCGAAGAUCAAUAUGAUUGGUCGAAUCGAGAUCCAGGGUCAUACGCCAGGCGCAUUAGAUGUGCAAUAGUAGAUGGGAUCUACUGCCGGGGUCGGGAUUUUGCCGUAUGCGUAUGCUUCGGUAAAUCAGCCGUAACUUUUCGGUACGAUCUCGGAUCGGGGCGAUUUUUAUACGAAAAUUGAUCUACAGAAAAAGUUACACGUGAAUUUCAAUGGCUUUGCCAUUUUCGGCGAAAUUAGAUUUCCCAAAUUCGGCUUGGAAGAUGGAGUUUCGGGCCUCCGAAGUUUGGAACGUUAGGACGCCUAACUCUGUUUUGCAGGAUGUAUGUAUGUAUCUUGUGAUCAGUAUGGCCCCCUUGUGUAUGUGAUGCAUGUGUGUAACUCAUUCGUG